GAUGAACGCUAGCGGGAGGCUUAACACAUGCAAGUCGAGGGGUAAAUGGUAGCAAUACUAUGAGACCGGCGAACGGGUGCGUAACGCGUAUGCAACUUACCUUAUGCAGGGGGAUAGCCCGUGGAAACGCGGAUUAAUAUCCCAUAGAUCAGUAAUAUCGCAUGGUAUAACUGGUAAAACUCAGGUGGCAUAAGAUGGGCAUGCGUCUGAUUAGCUAGUUGGUAGGGUAACGGCCUACCAAGGCGACGAUCAGUAGGGGUUCUGAGAGGAUUAACCCCCACACUGGUACUGAGACACGGACCAGACUCCUACGGGAGGCAGCAGUGAGGAAUAUUGGUCAAUGGGCGCAAGCCUGAACCAGCCAUCCCGCGUGAAGGAAGAAGGCCCUACGGGUUGUAAACUUCUUUUCUGUUUGAAGAAUAAGCUCGUCGAGACGAGUGAUGCCGGUAGGACAGGAAUAAGCAUCGGCUAACUCCGUGCCAGCAGCCGCGGUAAUACGU
rnacentral:rRNA from 1 species